GAUGAACGCUGGCGGCGUGCCUAAUACAUGCAAGUCGAGCGAACAGACGAGGAGCUUGCUCCUCUGACGUUAGCGGCGGACGGGUGAGUAACACGUGGAUAACCUACCUAUAAGACUGGGAUAACUUCGGGAAACCGGAGCUAAUACCGGAUGAUAUAUUGAACCGCAUGGUUCAAUAGUGAAAGACGGUUUUGCUGUCACUUAUAGAUGGAUCCGCGCCGCAUUAGCUAGUUGGUAAGGUAACGGCUUACCAAGGCAACGAUGCGUAGCGGACCUGAGAGGGUGAUCGGCCACACUGGAACUGAGACACGGUCCAGACUCCUACGGGAGGCAGCAGUAGGGAAUCUUCCGCAAUGGGCGAAAGCCUGACGGAGCAACGCCGCGUGAGUGAUGAAGGUCUUCGGAUCGUAAAGCUCCGUUAGUAGGGAAGAACAAAAGUGUAAGUAUCUAUGCACGUCUUGACGGUACCUAAACAGAAAGCCACGGCUAACUACGUG
rnacentral:rRNA from 1 species